GGACUACACGGGUAUCUAAUCCCGUUCGCUCCCCUAGCUUUCGCGCAUCAGCGUCAGAAGAGGUCCAGCAGGUCGCUUUCGCCACCGGCGUUCCUUCCGAUCUCAACGCAUUUCACCGCUCCACCGGAAGUUCCACCUGCCCCUACCUCCCUCCAGCCGGUCCGUACCCGGGGCACUGUUCCGGUUAAGCCGGAAGCUUUCACCCCGGACGCGAUCGGCCGCCUACGCGCCCUUUAAGCCCAGUGAUUCCGAACAACGUUCGCACGGUUCGUCUUACCGCGGCUGCUGGCAC
rnacentral:rRNA from 1 species